UUAUCACACUCGUAGGGGCCUUAGAGGCCUCCCAUACGACCUUGAAACCAACGCAAGCUAGAGUCAGUGAGCCAAACCAGAAAUGGAAAGCCCUCGCCAAAUCGCAUCAGAUAGAACCAAGCAUGCCACGGCAAUAUGGAAGACGGCAUUGAAUACCUCUUGGUAAACUACAUCACACUGGAAAUUAUUGGACGUCAACAGAUAAGACCUGUGGUCGUGAGCUAGGAUCCGUUACGAAGACUGAAACAUGCCUGGAUUGACAGCGGUUGUCACGGACCAAACGAACGUCAUUAAAUAAAAU